CUGCUAUAAUGCAGUCGACGAACUCUGGUAUUGAUUGGUGCUUGCAUCAUGAUUUACAUUUGAGUGAGUGGCGAACUGGUGAGUAACACGUGGGAAACCUGCCCAGAAGCGGGGGAUAACACCUGGAAACAGAUGCUAAUACCGCAUAACAACUUGGACCGCAUGGUCCGAGUUUGAAAGAUGGCUUCGGCUAUCACUUUUGGAUGGUCCCGCGGCGUAUUAGCUAGAUGGUGGGGUAACGGCUCACCAUGGCAAUGAUACGUAGCCGACCUGAGAGGGUAAUCGGCCACAUUGGGACUGAGACACGGCCCAAACUCCUACGGGAGGCAGCAGUAGGGAAUCUUCCACAAUGGACGAAAGUCUGAUGGAGCAACGCCGCGUGAGUGAAGAAGGGUUUCGGCUCGUAAAACUCUGUUGUUAAAGAAGAACAUAUCUGAGAGUAACUGUUCAGGUAUUGACGGUAUUUAACCAGAAAGCCACGGCUAACUACGUGCCAGCAGCCGCGGUAAUACGUAGGUGGCAAGCGUUGUCCGGAUUUAUUGGGCGUAAAGCGAGCGCAGGCGGUUUUUUAAGUCUGAUGUGAAAGCCUUCGGCUCAACCGAAGAAGUGCAUCGGAAACUGGGAAACUUGAGUGCAGAAGAGGACAGUGGAACUCCAUGUGUAGCGGUGAAAUGCGUAGAUAUAUGGAAGAACACCAGUGGCGAAGGCGGCUGUCUGGUCUGUAACUGACGCUGAGGCUCGAAAGUAUGGGUAGCAAACAGGAUUAGAUACCCUGGUAGUCCAUACCGUAAACGAUGAAUGCUAAGUGUUGGAGGGUUUCCGCCCUUCAGUGCUGCAGCU
rnacentral:rRNA from 1 species